GUGAUUUUUUGGCUUUUUAAUUAAUUUUAAAAUGAGGAAAAAUUCAAAAAAAAAAAAAAAGAGAAGAUAAAUAGCAUUCUAGACCAUAGAAAGGUGCCGCAUCACCUUGUCUAUGCGUAGCUUUAUAUAUUAUAUAUAUAUAUAGAUAUAUUAGUAAUAUAAUAGACAACAGACAAGUGCUUUUAUGUCAUAUGAAAUGCAAUCGUAGUAGGUUAGUACAACACACGACAUGCACGAGUUCACAAUAUAUUAUUGGAUAUUUGUAAGGAAAUGACAUGCUAGGGGGCUAUAAAUAGGGCCCGUAAUUCAGCAAUAAAACUCAACCAAUACACUUUGCUUUGUGUCAUUUUUAAAGUUGUGUUAACAUGGCCGGAAAUAAGAUUACUUUUCUUUUUGCUGUUGUGCUUGUGGCGAUUACUGUUAAUUUCUUCAGCAUUCCGAAUAUGCAAGUGAUGGCAUCACGAAACUUACCAUUAGAUAUGUAUAAUAUUGUGGAAGGAAACCUACUGAUCACCACACUUAAGGACAGAGCUUGUCUUUUAGCUUGUCGCGCUCAUUCAGACUGCUCUAGUGGCACGGUUUGCAAACGUUGUGGGCCCAAUUGGACAUGUUCUCCUUAGUAAUUAUAUCGAAAUUUAUAUAUAUGUUUGUGUUGUUUUCCUGUUUCAUGUUCCUCUUUCCAUCUUUCUGUCACUCAUGAUCAGAUAUUUGAGUGUUUUAUGAUAUUAGUGUGUAAUAAGUUUCAAUAUCAAUAAUAAUGAUGAGUGUGCUAAUUAAGUAUGUA